rnacentral:rRNA from 1 species
UACGAGGGGGGCGAGCGUUGUCCGGAAUCAUUGGGCGUAAAGAGCGUGUAGGCGGCUCGGUAAGUCCGCUGUGAAAGUCCAGGGCUCAACCCUGGAAUGCCGGUGGAAACUGUCGAGCUAGAGUCCGGAAGAGGCGAGUGGAAUUCCUGGUGUAGCGGUGAAAUGCGCAGAUAUCAGGAGGAACACCGAUGGCGAAGGCAGCUCGCUGGGACGGUACUGACGCUGAGACGCGAAAGCGUGGGGAGCAAACAGG